AUUGAACGCUGGCGGCAUGCCUUACACAUGCAAGUCGAACGGCAGCACGGGAGCAAUCCUGGUGGCGAGUGGCGAACGGGUGAGUAAUGUAUCGGAACGUACCAUUGAGUGGGGGAUAACGUAGCGAAAGUUACGCUAAUACCGCAUAUACCCUGAGGGGGAAAGCAGGGGAUCGCAAGACCUUGUGCUCUUUGAGCGGCCGAUAUCAGAUUAGCUAGUUGGUGAGGUAAAGGCUCACCAAGGCGACGAUCUGUAGCGGGUCUGAGAGGAUGAUCCGCCACACUGGAACUGAGACACGGUCCAGACUCCUACGGGAGGCAGCAGUGGGGAAUUUUGGACAAUGGGGGCAACCCUGAUCCAGCCAUGCCGCGUGAGUGAAGAAGGCCUUCGGGUUGUAAAGCUCUUUCGGCCGGGAGGAAAUCGCAUCAGCUAAUACCUGGUGUGGAUGACAGUACCGGAAUAAGAAGCACCGGCUAACUACGUGCCAGCAGCCGCCGUAAUAC
rnacentral:rRNA from 1 species